rnacentral:rRNA from 1 species
CGCCGCGGUUAUACGAGAGGCCCAAGUUGACCAACUCCGGCGUAAAGGGUGGUUAAUAACAAGAACACUAAAGCCGAACAUCUUCAAAGCUGUCAUACGCCCCGGAGAUAGGAAGCCCUUUCACGAAAGUAGCUUUAAGUAUUAUGAACCCACGAAAACUAGGAAA